AUGGGAACGCGAAGAACCUUACCUACUCUUGACAUCCAGAGAACUUAGCAGAGAUGGAUUGGUGCCUUCGGGAACUCUGAGACAGGUGCUGCAUGGCUGUCGUCAGCUCGUGUCGUGAGAUGUUGGGUUAAGUCCCGCAACGAGCGCAACCCUUAUUACUAGUUGCUACCAUUAAGUUGAGCACUCUAGUGAGACUGCCCGGGUUAACCGGGAGGAAGGCGGGGAUGACGUCAAAUCAUCAUGGCCCUUACGAGUAGGGCUACACACGUGCUACAAUGGCGCAUACAAAGAGAAGCGACCUCGCGAGAGCAAGCGGACCUCAUAAAGUGCGUCGUAGUCCGGAUUGGAGUCUGCAACUCGACUCCAUGAAGUCGGAAUCGCUAGUAAUCGUAGAUCAGAAUGCUACGGUGAAUACGUUCCCGGGUCUUGUACACACCGAGUCGUGGGGAGGGC
rnacentral:rRNA from 1 species